rnacentral:lncRNA from 1 species
GACGUGGGACCGCGGUCGCAGGGGUCUGCUCCGAUUAUUUAUAUCACCCUUUCCAAAUCUGCCUGUAGAUAAGUCACAAGAAGUCGGCCUGAACUAUACACAGAACACACAGAUGGAAGAUUUGAAUCAGCUGUGAAAAAGAUGAUCAGUCCUAAUCAGAAAGUAAAAAGUGAGUGCUUAGAAUGCAUCUGAGAAUGUGUAGGCUGCGUCCCCAUAUUUAUCCACCAG